UUGGAAAAUCGUUUGAAGACAGGGACCAGCCUGCUUUUCAUGUCGGAGAUCCGGUAGUUGGAAAAAUAUAUUUCCAAUGUCAGAUUCAUGCUCGUGAAUGGAUAUCUGGAGCAACUUGCAUGUACAUAGCUGACUCCUUAACUAAUAAUCCUGAUGGCUCAUCAAGGGUAAUGAUGGCUUAAGAUCAACACUUGUCAUAAAUGUAUUUGUAAAUUUCAAAUAUUCUGCAAAAUGUGAAAUUUAUAUUUGUUCCUCUUGUCAACCCUGAUGGAUAUGAAUAUACGUGGGAUGGAGAUCGUCUGUGGAGGAAGAAUAGACAAGUUAAUUCUGGAUCAAGUUGUAGAGGUGUAGAUCUGAACAGAAACUACAACGACCACUGGAAUGAGGGAGGUAGUUCAAGUAAUCCUUGCAGUGAGACAUAUCAUGGAAUUGGCCCUGCCUCUGAACCUGAAACAGACCACACACAAAACUACUUCAGAAACAAUGCUCCUAUUAUAGGUGCCAUUGACUGGCACUCUUAUAGUCAACUUAUACUACGACGAUACGGAUGGACAAAUCAAGAUUCUCCUGAUGAAGCCCAGUUGAAGGAGAUUGGUGAUGAAAUGAGUG